rnacentral:rRNA from 1 species
UAAUCUGCCCAAUGAUUAUUUAAUGGCCGCAGUAAACUGACUGUGCAAAGGUAGCAUAAUAAUUAGUCUUUUAAUUGAAGGCUUGUAUGAAUGAUUGAAUGAAAAAUUUACUUUAUUAAUAUAAAUUAUUAUAAUUUAAUUUUUAGGUUAAAAAGCCUAAAUUUAAAAGUUGGACGAGAAGACCCUAUAGAGUUUAAAAAUUUUAUUUUUUAAUAUGAUUUUAGUAUUAUUAUUUUAAUAUAAUAAAUAUAUUUUUUUAUUGGGGUGAUAUUAAAAAAAAAAAGACUUUUAAUAUAUAUAACAUUAAUAUAUGUAAUUAAUGAUCCAAUUUUGUUGAUUAAAAGAAUAAAUUACCUUAGGGAUAACAGCGUAAUUAUUUUUUAGAGUUCAUAUCAAUAAAAUAGUUUGCGACCUCGAUGUUGGAUUAAGAAUAUUAUUUGGAGCAAAUACUAAAUAUUUAGGU